GGAAUUGAACCCGCGCAUGGUGGAUUCACAAUCCACUGCCUUGAUCCACUUGGCUACAUCCGCCGGCGAACGACG
rnacentral:tRNA from 1 species